rnacentral:rRNA from 2 species
CCUACGGGCGGCUGCAGUAGGGAAUCUUCCGCAAUGGGCGAAAGCCUGACGGAGCAACGCCGCGUGAGUGAUGAAGGUCUUCGGAUCGUAAAACUCUGUUAUUAGGGAAGAACAUAUGUGUAAGUAACUGUGCACAUCUUGACGGUACCUAAUCAGAAAGCCACGGCUAACUACGUGCCAGCAGCCGCGGUAAUACGUAGGUGGCAAGCGUUAUCCGGAAUUAUUGGGCGUAAAGCGCGCGUAGGCGGUUUUUUAAGUCUGAUGUGAAAGCCCACGGCUCAACCGUGGAGGGUCAUUGGAAACUGGAAAACUUGAGUGCAGAAGAGGAAAGUGGAAUUCCAUGUGUAGCGGUGAAAUGCGCAGAGAUAUGGAGGAACACCAGUGGCGAAGGCGACUUUCUGGUCUGUAACUGACGCUGAUGUGCGAAAGCGUGGGGAUCAAACAGGAUUAGAUACCCCAGUAGUC